CCUACGGGGGGCUGCAGUAGGGAAUAUUGCUCAAUGGGGGAAACCCUGAAGCAGCAACGCCGCGUGGAGGAUGAAGGUUUUCGGAUUGUAAACUCCUUUUGUUAGAGAAGAUAAUGACGGUAUCUAACGAAUAAGCACCGGCUAACUCCGAGCCAGCAGCCGCGGUCAUACGGAGGGUGCAAGCGUUACCCGGAAUCACUGGGCGUAAAGCGCGCGUAGGCGGGGUAGGAAGUCAGAUGUGAAAUCCUAAGGCUUAACCAUAGCACUGCAGUUGAAACUGUUAUUCUAGGGUAUGUGAGCGGUAGGUGGCAUUCUUGGUGUAGGGGUAAAAUCCGUAGAGAUCAAGAGGAAUACUCAUUGCGACGGCGACCUGCUAGGACAUAUCUGACGCUGAUGCGCGAAAGCGUGGGGAGCAAACAGGAUUAGAUACCCUGGUAGUC
rnacentral:rRNA from 1 species